GGCUCAGACAGCCAGGAUGUUGGCUUAGAAGCAGCCAUCAUUUAAAGAAAGCGUAAUAGCUCACUGGUCGAGUCGGCCUGCGCGGAAGAUGUAACGGGGCUAAGUAGUAAACCGAAGCUGCGGCAAUGUGCUUUUGCACAUUGGGUAGGGGAGCGUUCUGUAAGCGGUUGAAGGUGUGUGGUAACGCAUGCUGGACGUAUCAGAAGUGCGAAUGCUGACAUGAGUAACGAUAAAGGGGGUGAAAAACCUCCUCGCCGGAAGACCAAGGGUUCCUGUCCAACGUUAAUCGGGGCAGGGUAAGUCGACCCCUAAGGCGAGGCCGAAAGGCGUAGUCGAUGGGAAACGGGUUAAUAUUCCCGUACUUCUUACAAUUGCGAUGGGGGGACGGAGAAGGCUAGGUGGGCCUGGCGACGGUUGUCCAGGUUCAAGUGCGUAGGCUUAAGAGUUAGGUAAAUCCGGCUCUUUUUAAGGCUGAGACUCGACGUCGAGCACCUACGGGUGUGAAGUCAUUGAUGCCAUGCUUCCAGGAAAAGCCUCUAAGCUUCAGAUUGUAAGGAAUCGUACCCCAAACCGACACAGGUGGUCGGGUAGAGAAUACCAAGGCGCUUGAGAGAACUCGGGUGAAGGAACUAGGCAAAAUGGUACCGUAACUUCGGGAGAAGGUACGCUCUUGAUGGUGAAGUCCCUUGCGGAUGGAGCUAUUGAGAGUCGCAGAUACCAGGUGGCUGCAACUGUUUAUUAAAAACACAGCACUGUGCAAAAUCGUAAGAUGACGUAUACGGUGUGACGCCUGCCCGGUGCCGGAAGGUUAAUUGAUGGGGUUAGACUUC
rnacentral:rRNA from 1 species